GUCUAUAGCCAUGCUACCCUGAACAAGCUUGACCCCGUCUGAUUUCAGAAGCUAAGCAGGGUUGGGCCUGGUUAGUACUCGGAUGGGAGACCACCUAGGAAGACCAGGUGCUGUAGGCG
rnacentral:rRNA from 1 species